rnacentral:rRNA from 1 species
GCAUAAAUAAAAUAUGUGUAAUGUCUACUUCAAUUAAUUAAAAGCAUUGAUAAACUUAGUAAAGGUGACAGAAACUUGUUUUAUAAAAUAAAAGUACUGAGAAGGAAAUGAUUUUAACGGAUUUAAAGAAAGAUUAAAUUUCUGUACCUUUUGCAUCAUGGUUUAGCUAGAUUUAAUUUUCUUAGGAAACUUCUCGAAAUCUAAUGGGCUAUUUUUAACCGGUACUAUUAGGUGCCCUAAAAGUAAUUGUGGCAAAAAUUUUUUUAGAGUUAAAAAUAGAAAUGAAAUUUUAUCCGUAUUAGAUGAUAGCUAGUUCUUUCUUAAAGGUAUAGAAGUACUGUAAAUUUCUUAUGCUAUAGAAUAUACAAUCUCUUGCAUACAUAGAAAUUUAAUCAGGUUUUUGAGGAUAAGCUCAAAAACAUUUUAGCUUGUAUCUAAAAUGUUAAAUAGUUAAAUUUAGGCUUGAAAAUGGCCAUAAUAUAUGAUUUUGUUAUAAUUUCAUUGCUUUUGACAACAUAUAAUAAAUUUACUUUUUGUUAGGAAAGAAAGUUCUUAAAUUUAAAAUAGGACUAAAUGCAUGCUAAAAUGAGUAUUAAUUAACUUAUAUACUUUAUAACAGUAAAAACAUAAAUUAAAUAAAGUAUUUUUAUUAUAAAUUAGUGAAAGGAACUCGGCAAAACUAAAUUCCGCCUGUUUAUCAAAAACAUGGCUCCUUGUUUUCUUACAUAGGGAGUCGGACCUGCUCGGUGAACAUAUUUUAACAGCCGCGGUACUCUGACCGUGCAAAGGUAGCAUAAUCAUUUGCCUUAUAAUUGAAGGCUAGUAUGAAUGGUUUGACGAGAAUUAAGCUGUCUCUUUUUAACUAAAUAUAACUUUAUUAAGAGGUGAAGAAGCCUGUAUUUUAUUGAAAGACAAGAAGACCCUAUCGAGCUUUAAAGAAUUUAGUAGAUUUACCAUAUAUUAAUAAAAAAGUAAAGCAACUAAUUAUUUUGGUUGGGGCGACUGAGGAACAAACAAAGCUUCCUUUAUGCUAAUUAAAACUUACAAGUAUUGAUCCAAUUUAUUUGAUUAAAGAAAUUAGUUACCGUAGGGAUAACAGCAUAAUCUCCUUUGAGAGUUCUCAUCGAAAAGGGGGUUUGUGACCUCGAUGUUGGACCAGAAUACCCAGAAGAUGCAGCCGUCUUCAAUGGUUGGUCUGUUCGACCAUUAAAAUUCUACGUGAUCUGAGUUCAGACCGGCGUGAGCCAGGUCAGUUUCUAUCUUCAAUUUUUAUAGUGGCCUUAGUACGAAAGGACCAGGCUACUGCAAAACAAUUUGUAAUCUUCUGAUUAAAUAUAAAUAAUAAUUAAGCCUUUAGCU